ensembl:snoRNA small nucleolar RNA SNORD49
UUCAGUGAUGAAAACUGCUGCAUAGGAAGUGCCGUCUGAUGCGAUAACUGACGAUAUAAAGCUGUUCUGAGA